rnacentral:lncRNA from 1 species
CUCUGUUCGCAUAACCCUCAUAAUUUGGUUAUUAUGUUUCUUUUUAAUGUUUAGACUUUGAUAAGGUCUGUCUGUUUUUUUGUUGUACCAUAUGAGUUUUGGGUUAACUGAAUGGCUGCAAAGCUUUAUCCCCAUCAAUCAAUAAGAUUAACAAAACCUAUAUUGAUUGAUUCUUUAAUUUUGAUUGGAUAAACUUAAAAAAAAAGUGGGUUAACUUUGAGUCUUACACUGUGUACAGUAAAUUAAAAAGGUGGAUGAACCCUGAUGAUGAUGAUAAGUUUCUGUUUGAACGAAAACAUUGUGUUUCAGUUGGAGUUGCUUGCAAUACAGUGCACCAAAUCCAUCAAUAUCAAGGGGCUAUUUGGAACAGUAAAACACUAGUGCAAGAUGAAAACCAAAAUUCCCUUCCUGACGAGUAGUGAGCAAACAACACUGACAAUUUUGUCGGAGAUUCGUCGUCUUGUUGGUAUCUGGAAGGAGAAAUUGUUGGGCCAAUUUUCCUAGUUGUUGGCCUAAUGCUGACGUCUGGAUGCAAGAUGACACGAGCUGCACAAGGGGGGAACAAAGUCAAAAUGUCAUUCUCUGUUGGGGUUUCAUUUCUCGACCUUUGAAUGUAAUGGCUUUUUCUUAUUUAAAUCGUUGACUAAUAGGUUAAUUCAUCGGUGAUGUGAUGAUGUGCUGAGACCUGGAUGAAGACGAUGAUUGAUGGCCAAUCAUCCCAACCCUUUGCCGACGUGUGGAAUGGAUGGAAGGUUGAAGAUGCAUAUAAAAACAUGGUAAUGAUGGACACGUUCGGAAACCAAACUACGCCAUUAGUCUUAAUUACAUCCACCAACGUAAUGCUCAUCAUUGUUACGGGCAGAUCUAUAGUCACCCACCUGGACCAUAUAAUUUGCGUGCGACUUUCGAAGCGGUGUAACAGUCUCAGCGCUGUUUUAAGUAUUAUUAAUUGGCAAAUAAAAAUUCAAUUGGCAAUUAUUUGUUCCCUCUAUCGUUUCCCUGACUUGUAUCAAAUCUAAUUGCAUUUGACUUAAUUUAGUGUGACCCGAGUUUUACCAAGAACGAAUUUUAUUAUUUAAUAUUAAUUUAAUUAAUUUUGUUCUCGAAUAACGAACUUGAGCGCCCGCCUUGAGUGGACCAGAAAACGAGGGGAUUUUCCAGUCCAGAAACCAUUUAAGGUAAAAUAAGCUAUCCCUUGGUUAUGGCGUGAAAGCCAACGUUUAAUCGAAUUUAAUCUUAUUCCAUUUUCGAGUUCAACGGCGUGCAUCAAGAUUAUCCCACGUCUUACGAUAGGUAAUCGAUCUGGCUAGCUCUGAACUGUUUACUUCAUAUUGCAGUCAGAGUCGAUCAAAGGACAAUGAAACAUAUUGAAAGGUAUUAUCUCAUUCAACAGUUUUACAUGCAGAUUUUGGAUCCCAACUGUCAGUGGGUGGACCGGACACCUUUGGCCAACUUAACAACGGCUAUGCGUGUCCGGAUGAGAAUCAGAUGCUGCUGGAUGGAUAAGACGUGUUGGCAAUCACAGCUCUGUAUAAUUGUCAUCAACAUCUUAUCAGCGAUAACUUAAACAAUUUGAAUCCGUCUAUUUGCUUAAUUGAUCUUUUGUUGAUCUACUUCAACCCGGUGAGUAGUAAGGAACGUGCAAAUGUCGGAACGUGCAAAUGUCGGAGGAGAGACGUAACCACACGAUCCGAUGAACAACGACCUAAUAAGGUGAGUUGAUUUUUCUGAUUUAUUUUAUUUGAUCUCAGUCCGAGAUGAAUUUUGUUGCAGACAUUUUACAUGGUCAUCGUGUGGGCGGCACCUGCAGCAAUUGAAAAUUUGUCUUGUUCCGUCAUUAAGGUCCUUAAGUCCAGUUAGUCCAUACCAUUCCAGUCACAUUUCAGAUAUUUGACUAAUUUGAACAAGGUUUUCACUGCUGAAAAAGAAAUAAUUGAGGGUACUAUUCCUUCUAUCAACGGUUUUGCAAGAGAAAUUGAUCGCCAUUUUAAACAAUUUCGAUUACCAACUACGACCUACCACUCAGAAAACGUUUAAGAUU